CCAGUUUCUUAUUGGAUUCACUCACAGGCAGAAAUGUUCUUAAUGCCUCUCAGGAUUCCUUCAGCAGCUGCAGCCUGGCUGUCUCUUUUUGGAUAUGGAUACAACACAUUCAUUUGGCACUUCAGAAGUUAAAUUAGUUCAAUAACUCUAUGGUGUGCCUCAACUUACAAAAGGUCUGGAGAGUCAAUAAAACACCCAAGGUAAUUACAAUACUUGCCUUAUACCCACCAAAUUUAAAAGGCAGUUAUCCUGUACAAAAUUAUGCUCCCAAAACUCAGUAGUAUUUAUUGCCAAAGACUACAUGUAGCAGAAACUCUAUAGCAGGAACUCAUGAAUCAGUAGGAAGGAAGAUAACCGGUGAUGGCUUUAGCCUUAUCAGAAUGCCAGUCACAUGAGCUGCACACUUAAACUAAGUUGGAAGAAAUUUGUCAGCAACAAGUUAAACUUUUCACCAUGCAUUUAGCAUGGUACUCUAUCUUCUCUUUCAGAAAG
rnacentral:lncRNA from 1 species